AUGGUGUAGUCAGCUUUCAUCUCCUUUGACAAUAUUAUUUAAGAAUUGAUUACUUUCAUGUUCAUAGUGCAGAAGUAAUUGUUGGUUAAUGUCCAAUCUUUCCUGUUUCAUAUGAAGAAUGAACAUUCAAUGCAUUCAUCAUGCUCAAAAUUUUUGGAAAUUAGUUCAGCAAUUAUCAUCUGCACAUGCUGCCAUGAUAUAUUGCACUUGACUGAUAACUGUUCUUGUAUUAUGCAAUGAUUUUCUUUAAUGAAUUCCUCAGCAUGAUUCUGAUGAGCUUCAUCAGUUGCAGUAUGCAGCCUUCCACUCCAUUUUUUGUCAAACAAGUUGAGUCGCACCACUAUAUUGUUCAUUAUGAACAUGAAAACAGUCCAAUGUUGCACAGUAUUGAUGUUUAUUCAUUCAUCCCCUUAAACAACCUUUGUUCUUCAAUGAAUGUAAUCAGCAACAAGGGAAUUACAAGCACUGCAGGGCAGAUGA
rnacentral:lncRNA from 1 species